UACAUGUGGGGCAAGCGUUGUUCGGAAUUACUGGGCAUAAAGGGUGCGUAGGCGGUUUGUUAAGUCACUGGUGAAAGUUUGCGGCCCAACCGUAAAAAUUGCCUGUGAUACUGGCGAACUUGAGUGCGUGAGGGGUAGGGGGAACGAGCAGUGUAGCGGUGAAAUGCGCAGAUAUCAGGAGGAACACCGAUGGCGAAGGCAGGUCUCUGGGCAUUAACUGACGCUGAGGAGCGAAAGCAUGGGGAGCGAACAGG
rnacentral:rRNA from 1 species